rnacentral:ncRNA from 1 species
UAAUAAAUAAAAUUUUUAUGUUUUAAAAAAUUUAUUAUAAAUUUAUUUUACAUAUAAAUUUUAGUAUGAAUUUUUAAUUAUUUUAAUAAUAAUUAAUUAAAAAUAAUAGUAAUUAAAAUUAAAAAUUUAAGAAAUUAAGAUUUAGUAAUAUAAAAAUUAAUAACUAAUUUUGUGCCAGCAGUUGCGGUUAAACAAAAAUUAAAUUAAAUUUUUUCAGUAUUUAAUGAAUAAAUUUUAUAAAAUUGAAAUAAAUAUUAAAUUAUUAAGUGAAAUUUUAAUUUAAUUAAAUUUUAAUAUAUUUUUAUGAUUUAAUAAAUUUGUUAAUAAACUAGGAUUAGAUACCCUAUUAUUAAAAAUUUAAUUUAAAAUACUAAAAUAGUAAAUAAAAAAUAUUGAAACUUAAAUAAUAUGGCGGUAUUUUAGUUCAUUUAGAGGAAUCUGUUUAAUAAUUGAUAAUCCACGAAUAAAUUUACUUAAUUUAAGAUUUUAUAUAUCGUUGUUAAAAAAAUAUUUUUUAAUGAAAAUAAUAUUUAAAAAUUUUUAUUAAAAUUUAAUUCAAAUCAAGAUGUAGAUUAUAAUUAAGAAUAUAAUGGAUUACAAUAAAAUAAUUUAUAAUGAAAAAUUUAAUUUUAAAAUUAAUUUGAAGGUGGAUUUAAAUGUAAUUUUAAUUAGUUUAUUAAAAUGAUUAAAAAUUGAAAUAUGUACAUAUUGCCCGUCACUUUCAUUUUAAAAUUGAAAUAAGUCGUAACAAAGUAGAAGUACUGGAAAGUGUUUCUAGAAUGAA